CCUCUCUCUUCCCGUUGAUAAACCCUACCUGCUGCUCCUCCGCCGGAGCGCCACCGCGAAGUCUACCUCUCCUUAUCAACACUGAGUAGCAUAUUCCGGUGACCUGAUAUGGAUGCUAUGGAUGCUGAGGAUGAGGUUCCUGUUUCAACUUCAGAAACUUCAACCCUAGUUGAUGAUAAUUCAACUGUGGUUAAUGCUACAGGUGCAGUUAAUCUUCAACCAGUUCCAGCUGUCAUUCCACCAGUUGCUCCGACGGCUAUCCUUCCUCCUGUCGUGCCUGCAAUUGCUCCAAGGCUUGCAGUUCCUCCCCCUAUUCCUCCCCCAUUAGCUCCGUUGCCUGUUCGUCCACCUGUCCUUAGGCCUCCGGUAGCACAGAAUGGAGAAAUGCAAGAGAAUGAUUCAGAUUCAGACCUUGAAGAAAUGGUAUCCGGUCGUGGUGCUGCGGGCUCCACGCAAGAAUAUGAGAUCUCUGAGGAGAGUAGAAUUGUCCGAGAGAGGCAGGAGAAGGCCCUGCAGGAGCUUCUCAUGAAGAGACGUGCUGCUGCGCUUGCAGUUCCCACAAAUGAUAUGGCCGUUCGAGCUCGACUGCGAAGGCUUGGCGAACCCAUAACUCUCUUUGGAGAAAGGGAGAUGGAAAGAAGGGAUCGACUGCGGAUGCUUAUGGCAAGGCUUGAUGCAGAAGGGCAGCUGGAAAAGCUGAUGAAAGCUCAUGAGGAUGAAGAAGCUGCAGCUUCUGCAGCACCAGCAGAGGAGGAAGAUAUUCAAUACCCUUUUUACACAGAAGGAUCGAAAGCACUUUUAGAUGCUAGGGUAGAAAUUGCAAAGUAUUCCUUAGUUAAGUCAGCUUUACGUCUCCAUCGCGCAAGGAGGAAAAGGGAUGAUCCA
rnacentral:misc_RNA from 1 species